GAUGAACGCUGGCGGCGUGCCUAAUACAUGCAAGUCGAGCGAACAGACGAGGAGCUUGCUCCUCUGACGUUAGCGGCGGACGGGCGAGUAACACGUGGAUAACCUACCUAUAAGACUGGGAUCACUUCGGGAAACCGGAGCUAAUACCGGAUAAUAUACUGAACCGCAUGGUUCAAUAGUGAAAGACGGUUUUGCUGUCACUUAUAGAUGGAUCCGCGCCGCAUUAGCUAGUUGGUAAGGUAACGGCUUACCAAGGCAACGAUGCGUAGCCGACCUGAGAGGGUGAUCGGCCACACUGGAACUGAGACACGGUCCAGACUCCUACGGGAGGCAGCAGUAGGGAAUCUUCCGCAAUGGGCGAAAGCCUGACAGAGCAACACCGCGUGAGUGAUGAAGGUCUUCGGAUCGUAAAACUCUGUUAUUAGGGAAGAACAAAUGUGUAAGUAACUAUGCACGUCUUGACGGUACCUAAUCAGAAAGCCACGGCUAACUACGUG
rnacentral:rRNA from 1 species